AAAAGAUUAAACUCAUUUUUGAAAAAAUGGCCAUUGAUAUUUGUGUUGAUCAUCCUAGUGCCUUUUGGAAUCGGAAAAAGCAUAUUGUAACUCUUCCAUAUGAAGAUGAUUUCUCUGAGGAAAAUAUCCCUACCAAAUCACGUCCUUGUCAGAUGAAUACCGAAUUGGUUGAAUUCUGCAAAAAGGAAAUUGAUGAUUUAUUACAAAAAGGUUUGAUCAAGCCUUCCAAAUCACCAUGAUCGUGUACUGCUUUUUAUGUUAAUAAUAACGCAACAGAAAAAGAACGAGGUGUUCCCAGGUUAGUUAUAAAUUAUAAACCUUUAAAUAAAAUUUUAAAAUGGAUUAGAUAUCCUAUUCCAAAUAAAAGAGAUUUAUUAACCAGAUUAUAUGAUGCUAAUGUCUUUUCAAAAUUUGAUUUAAAAUCUGGAUAUUGGCAUAUCCAAAUAUUUAGAGACCAUUCAUAUAGAACGACAUUUAAUGUUCCGUUUGGACAGUACGAAUGGAAUGUAAUGCCUUUUGGGUUAAAAAAUGCUCCCUCAGAAUUUCAAAAGAUAAUGAAUGAUAUUUUUAAUCCCUAUUUGGAUUUCAUCAUAGUUUAUAUUGAUGAUAUUUUGGUAUACUCAGAGACUUUUGAAAUGCAUAUUAAGCAUUUAAACAUUUUUAAGAAAAUAGUUAUUCAAAAUGGUUUGGUCAUAUCUAAACCUAAAAUGAGUCUUUUUCAAACAGAAGUUAGAUUUUUGGGUCAUUUGAUUUGUCAAGGAAAAAUGACUCCUAUUCAACGAUCUAUUGAAUUCGCAUCAAAAUUCCCUGAUAUUAUUACAGAUAAGACGCAAUUGCAGCGGUUUCUGGGAAGUUUAAACUAUAUUUCCCCAUUCUACAAGAAUUUGUCUCGAGAUUUAGCUCUGUUAUAUGACAGGCUAAAAAAGGAUCAUAAGAAGCUUUGGACUAAUAGUCUCACAGAUCUUGUAAAGACUAUUAAAGAAAGAGUUAAAUCUUUACCUUGUUUAACCCUUGCUAAUCCUGCUUGGCCAAAGAUUGUAAAGACGGAUGCGUC
rnacentral:lncRNA from 1 species